AUUUAUACAGUGAAACUGCGAAUGGCUCAUUAAAUCAGUUACGUUUAUUUGAUAGUAACUUACUACUUGGAUAACCGUGGUAAUUCUAGAGCUAAUACAUGCUUAAAAUCCCGACUGUUGGAAGGGAUGUAUUUAUUAGAUAAAAAAUCAAUGCCUUCGGCUCUUUGAUGAUUCAUAAUAACUUUUCGAAUCGCAUGGCCUUGUGCCGGCGAUGGUUCAUUCAAAUUUCUGCCCUAUCAACUUUCGAUGGUAGGAUAGUGGCCUACCAUGGUUUCAACGGGUAACGGGGAAUAAGGGUUCGAUUCCGGAGAGGGAGCCUGAGAAACGGCUACCACAUCCAAGGAAGGCAGCAGGCGCGCAAAUUACCCAAUCCCGACACGGGGAGGUAGUGACAAUAAAUAACGAUAUAGGGCCCUUUUGGGUCUUAUAAUUGGAAUGAGUACAAUGUAAAUACCUUAACGAGGAACAAUUGGAGGGCAAGUCUGGUGCCAGCAGCCGCGGUAAUUCCAGCUCCAAAAGCGUAUAUUAAAGUUGUUGCAGUUAAAAAGCUCGUAGUUGAACCUUGGGCUUGGUUAGCCGGUCCACCUUUUGGUGUGUACUGGACCUAACCGAGCCUUUCCUUCUGGCUAACCUUCUUCCUUUUUGGGAGUUGGCGAACCAGGACUUUUACUUUGAAAAAAUUAGAGUGUUCAAAGCAGGCCUUUGCUCGAAUAUAUUAGCAUGGAAUAAUAGAAUAGGACGUAUGGUUCUAUUUUGUUGGUUUCUAGGACCAUCGUAAUGAUUAAUAGGA
rnacentral:rRNA from 1 species